GACGAACGCUGGCGGCGUGCUUAACACAUGCAAGUCGAACGGAAAGGCUCCUGCUUGCAGGGGUACUCGAGUGGCGAACGGGUGAGUAACACGUGGGUGAUCUGCCUUGUACUCUGGGAUAAGCUUGGGAAACUUGGUCUAAUACCGGAUAAUAACUGCCUUUAGUGUGGUGGUUGGAAAGUUUUUUCGGUGCAAGAUGAGCUCGCGGCCUAUCAGCUUGUUGGUGGGGUAAUGGCCUACCAAGGCGUCGACGGGUAGCCGGCCUGAGAGGGUGUACGGCCACAUUGGGACUGAGAUACGGCCCAGACUCCUACGGGAGGCAGCAGUGGGGAAUAUUGCACAAUGGGCGGAAGCCUGAUGCAGCGACGCCGCGUGGGGGAUGACGGCCUUCGGGUUGUAAACUCCUUUCGACAGGGACGAAGCUUUUUGUGACGGUACCUGUAGAAGAAGCACCGGCUAACUACGUG
rnacentral:rRNA from 1 species